AGAGUUUGAUCAUGGCUCAGAUUGAACGCCGGCGGCAGGCCUAACACAUGCAAGUCGAACGGUAACAGGAAGCAGCUUGCUGCUUCGCUGACGAGUGGCGGACGGGUGAGUAAUGUCUGGGAAGCUGCCUGAUGGAGGGGGAUAACUACUGGAAACGGUAGCUAAUACCGCAUAAUGUCGCAAGACCAAAGAGGGGGACCUUCGGGCCUCUUGCCAUCGGAUGUGCCCAGAUGGGAUUAGCUUGUUGGUGGGGUAACGGCUCACCAAGGCGACGAUCCCUAGCUGGUCUGAGAGGAUGACCAGCCACACUGGAGCUGAGACACGGUCCAGACUCCUACGGGAGGCAGCAGUGGGGAACAUUGCACAAUGGGCGCAAGCCUGAUGCAGCCAUGCCGCGUGUAUGAAGAAGGCCUUCGGGUUGUAAAGUACUUUCAGCGGGGAGGAAGGGAGUAAAGUUAAUACCUUUGCUCAUUGACGUUACCCGCAGAAGAAGCACCGGCUAACUCCGUGCCAGCAGCCGCGGUAAUACGGAGGGUGCAAGCGUUAAUCGGAAUUACUGGGCGUAAAGCGCACGCAGGCGGUUUGUUAAGUCAGAUGUGAAAUCCCCGGGCUCAACCUGGGAACUGCAUCUGAUACUGGCAAGCUUGAGUCUCGUAGAGGGGGGUAGAAUUCCAGGUGUAGCGGUGAAAUGCGUAGAGAUCUGGAGGAAUACCGGUGGCGAAGGCGGCCCCCUGGACGAAGACUGACGCUCAGGUGCGAAAGCGUGGGGAGCAAACAGGAUUAGAUACCCUGGUAGUCCACGCCGUAAACGAUGUCGACUUGGAGGUUGUGCCCUUGAGGCGUGGCUUCCGGAGCUAACGCGUUAAGUCGACCGCCUGGGGAGUACGGCCGCAAGGUUAAAACUCAAAUGAAUUGACGGGGGCCCGCACAAGCGGUGGAGCAUGUGGUUUAAUUCGAUGCAACGCGAAGAACCUUACCUGUCUUGACAUCCACGGAAGUUUUCAGAGAUGAGAAUGUGCCUUCGGGAACCGUGAGACAGGUGCUGCAUGGCUGUCGUCAGCUCGUGUUGUGAAAUGUUGGGUUAAGUCCCGCAACGAGCGCAACCCUUAUCCUUUGUUGCCAGCGGUCCGGCCGGGAACUCAAAGGAGACUGCCAGUGAUAAGCUGGAGGAAGGUGGGGAUGACGUCAAGUCAUCAUGGCCUUUACGACCAGGGCUACACACGUGCUGCAAUGGCGCAUACAAAGAGAAGCGACCUCGCGAGAGCAAGCGGACCUCAUAAAGUGCGUCGUAGUCCGGAUUGGAGUCUGCAACUCGACUCCAUGAAGUCGGAAUCGCUAGUAAUCGUGGAUCAGAAUGCCACGGUGAAUACGUUCCCGGGCCUUGUACACACCGCCCGUCACACCAUGGGAGUGGGUUGCAAAAGAAGUAGGUAGCUUAACCUUCGGGAGGGCGCUUACCACUUUGUGAUUCAUGACUGGGGUGAAGUCGUAACAAGGUA
rnacentral:rRNA from 1 species